ACGGCUCAGUAACACGUAGUCAACAUGCCCAGGGGACGUGGAUAACCUCGGGAAACUGAGGAUAAACCGCGAUAAGUCACUACUUCUGGAAUGGGUAAUGACUAAAAUCUACAUGGCCCCUGGAUUGGACUGCGGCCGAUCAGGCUGUUGGUGAGGUAAUGGCCCACCAAACCUGUAACCGGUACGGGCUCUGAGAGGAGGAGCCCGGAGAUGGGCACUGAGACAAGGGCCCAGGCCCUAUGGGGCGCAGCAGGCGCGAAACCUCUGCAAUAGGCGAAAGCCUGACAGGGUUACUCUGAGUGAUUUCCGUUAAGGAGAUCUUUUGGCACCUCUAAAAAUGGUGCAGAAUAAGGGGUGGGCAAGUCUGGUGUCAGCCGCCGCGGUAAUACCAGCACCCCGAGUGGUCGGGACGUUUAUUGGGCCUAAAGCAUCCGUAGCCGGUUCUACAAGUCUUCCGUUAAAUCCACCUGCUUAACAGAUGGGCUGCGGAAGAUACUAUAGAGCUAGGAGGCGGGAGAGGCAAGCGGUACUCGAUGGGUAGGGGUAAAAUCCGUUGAUCCAUUGAAGACCACCAGUGGCGAAGGCGGCUUGCCAGAACGCGCUCGACGGUGAGGGAUGAAAGCUGGGGGAGCAAACCGGAUUAGAUACCCGGGUAGUCCCAGCUGUAAACGAUGCAGACUCGGUGAUGAGUUGGCUUCUCGCCAACUCAGUGCCGCAGGGAAGCCGUUAAGUUUGCCGCCUGGGGAGUACGGUCGCAAGACUGAAACUUAAAGGAAUUGGCGGGGGAGCAC
rnacentral:rRNA from 1 species